UCUCGCGUAGAAGCACAACUAAAAGCUAACCCUCAAAGUUUCAGAAGAUCGAAAGGAAAGCGACGAAGCGUGUCGUACUUCCGCCGCAAAGGCUUCCGUCAAAAGGCCCAUCCGAAAUUCCACGACGGCUGUGUAAAACGGCAUGUUAAUCAAGAACGGUAAAUCAGGAUGCCGACAAAGACAUUGAAAAUCCGGAAUAACAAAAAAAUGGAUUUUUACUACAGACAGACUCACGUGUACCCCGAACACGUACACGUACGUUUAAGGUAUUUAUGGGUACAGUAUCAUUAAAAAAUGCACCACGUAUGGUAAUUACGAAUGCAAUUGAUUAGCCGACAAAGCAAAGCCGACAAAUUAGAAGAAUGCUAUCUCCCCUUAUGUCGGCUACGUGGGCUCUCCUUGUUGUCCCCCUUGCUCCCCUUACGAAGUACCACGAGGGAGUAUCGUAUGUGAAGAUGCAGUGAAAGAAAGAGAGAGAAGUCUCCAGAUUAUCUGGUAAAGUCCGUCUUGAAGUUGUAAGGGGCUGAAGCGCCCUGUGCAUCCGAAUGCGUUUGCUACACUCUUUGAAGUUCACCGACUGACGUCCUAGGAAAUAGGGGAGAAAAAGCCAAUUAUAUUUUCGAAUGUCAACAUUUUAUUAAACUUGACAAAAUUGUGUUACUUCGUCACACUUCCAUGUGUGGACCAUUUCAAGAUUAUGGCAGUUUCACGUAAAAAUCAUACUUUUCGCGAGAAUCGCGUCGUACAGGCGAGAAUUAUGGGGCGAGAGGAACCAACGUUGGAUAUGGCGAAACGGUGGGGAAUAUUAAAAUGCACACACAUGGAUAUUGUUCUUAUACCAACCAGAAGAAAUCUGUCAGUUUAUUUUGUCCGCCAAACAAGAUUUUUUUUCCUGCACUCUUGAGCAUCUCUUCAUAUUCCAAGCGUAAAGCUUUUGAACUGCGUCAAGGAAGGAAGAGCACGGAGUAGUAGAACGUCAACGGUGGGCGUAACCGGAUGUCAAAUUGACGAAGAGUCGCUCCGCGGCACCGGUGUCGGGGUAGAUUAAUUUCCGUAUUAAUAGCCGACAUCUUACUUUCUUACCGAUCUUUUUCACCGUCAUUUUGUCCCAGCUGGUUAAUGGCGACCUGACAUUUUUUUUUCUCAUGACGGCAGAAUAAGCGACGCCAACGAGGAAAACUUCUUUGUCUGCUAAACGUCCGCGGUUAUUAUAAUUCCCUAAAGGAAAACACUUUGCGAGUACAUUAAUUAUGUUUGUUAAUGCACUUUCAUGGUAUCGUUCGUAGAAUGAAAGACUUAGAAAAAUAGGAACAAAGAUACCAAAAGAAGGUACGAGGCUGUAUAAUAAAAAAAAUUAUUAUAUGUAAUCUCAUUGCAGUUAUAUUGAAAAAAAAUCAUAUUUAUCAAUUAUUCAUUAAUCAUCUUGAUUUUUGUGUAUCCUGUUA